rnacentral:lncRNA from 1 species
GGAAUUGAUCUAAGUGUUUGUGUAUUGGAAAUAUAUGUGAAAAUAUUUUAAAAUAUUUAUACAUACAGAUAUUUGAUACGAACAUGAAUAGUGAAGUACAUUAACUGAUUUAAUAGAUUGCUAUGUCGAUGUAGAUAGCUUGUUGUGGGCCCUUUAAGUAUAGAAGUAGUUAACCAAAGAAAGCAUCCUUAAGAUUACAUCUCAUAAAAUGACGAUUGCCAAAGUACUGUCUCAGCUUUGCUGUAUCUGGAAAAAUUGUGUAAUUUAUUCUAUCUCUCUGGAUCUGUACAAAUAUCAGCAUGACAUGAUUUUUGAAAGUUCUGUGAAUUUUUGUAAGAAAUGCACAGCUUUGGUGUUUUCAGUUAUGCUGCUUUCUGUGCUGUCUUGUCUAACAGGACUAGGAUCCACCUUAAAUGACAGCCACGCAACAGGAUAAUGAAAGGCAAAAAAUCAGGAUGUGAUAUACAUCCUAAUGUAGGCUGUGUUUGGAGAGAGCAAUAGCUUGUUUAUGAACAGUUCAUUCAAAAAGAAGGGCUAGAUUUGUCAUGAGUAUUAUUCAUAAUGAAUUUUUAGAUCAGCUCUUUGAAAGUCCUAACAUAGUCGCUGCCAGUGUUGGGUGUCCUUUUACUGAAUUAACAGAUUUUAAUGAUCUAUUGAAAGUUCCAAAAGGUGCAUCUUAAAAAUCACUUGAAGCUUGAGGAAAGUGGAUGAAAAGGCUGGAGCAGUGCCUGAAAUUAAAAAGAACGUGCAUACACAUUAUAAAGUAAUGGCUAUAUUCUCCCUUUCUCUCUUUUUUUUCUUUUUUUCCCCUUUUCUUUUUUCUUCUUUUUUUUUUUUUUUUUUUUUUUUUUAAGAAAUUUCACUAGUUCAGUCUUCGUGAAACACAUAGGGGAAUAAAGGCAGUUUUGUUAUGUGCCGGCACUGUGGAGUACAAGUGUACUAAACAGGAGGGAGCACAGACGCGGCUUACGCGGCAACGCGUCCUCCCUCGCUCCCCCGGCUCCCUCUGUCGGCCGCCCUCGCGAACGACCCGGUAUAACCGCAAAUAAACAUCUCUGAAUGAUAAGGCGCUUACUGGAGUGACAGAAAGAAGAGCCUUGAAGCUGAAGUAUCAGCCAUACAUUUAACUAAAUCAUGCCCUAUUCUCAAACGAAAAUGGUGAUUUCACAGAUGGGCAGUUUCUCAAAUGUUUUCGCAUUGUUGGAUUUUUGGAGUAAAUACAUUUUUUUUUUUUUUUUUGCCUCAUUCUCCUAUUCAUCCUUAAUGUUAGGAAUCAAUAUACAAUGCAAUUGGGGCAGAUACUUAAUUUUUUACCCCAUUUCUGAGUAUGUGCAGGAGAGAAGGGAGAUUUUGAAGAGGCUUCAUUUUGGGGAGGCAAUGAGCUAUAUUCUUUGAAUGACAGGCCUCCAAAAGUCUAAAAGUAAUAAAAAUAUAUAUAUAAAAAAACUUUAUCAUGCUAUUAGUUUAUUAAUGUUUCUGAAACUGAUUAUCAGUUCCAGCAGGAAAUGAUCAGGUAGGCUUUUAUGAUCUAGUUUGAAAUCCUUUGAAUCUUUACUUUGAAAUCCCACAUAUUUUCCUCUGGCUCUCCUUUGUGGGUUUUUUUUUUUUUUUUUAAUUAGAAACUGCAUUCUUAGGACUAAUUAGUGCUUGUCAUUGUUAUUCAUUUAAAAAAAUCUUCUAGACAGUAUUAAUGAUUUUCAUCCUAAUAUAUUAUCAGAGCUACACAUACUUUAAUGAGCACAGUUGAUAUUAGCUGUGAACUUCAUGAGAUUUUAUUUUCUGAGGGGUACAAAUUGAUCUCAAAGCACUAACGAAAACAACCUGAAAACAUUUGAAAAUAACUGGUUUAUUUGCAGUAUGGGAUACCUCAUGGUGGGACCGAACAGUGCUACCUUGCUAUCUCCUCAUAGUAUCAGUGAUUCAAGAUCUCAUCUGGAAAAUCUUGAUAUUUAAAAUAAAAGAUCGUGCACUAAAUAAUGUUUACCAACCUAUUCUCUGAUCUGUUGGUUUGAAGGACAGGUUCCAUUGAACAGAUGAUAGAGUACCUGAGAUAUGCAGUCAUUCUCAGUCUUGAGAAGGAUUCAGCAGUAAGAAACUGUCAAAGAAGCAAGUGGUAGGAUAGAUUUUGAACUAGGCAGCUUUCUCGUUUUGAAUCUAAAGUGGGCUAAUGUGAAUGGAACAUUCAUGGAGGCACAGAGAAAAUGGAGGUGGGGCCAAAAGAAUUGUUCUGAUUCAUUACGAAAGUUUUCCAAAUGAAGUGAGAUUGUGAAGAGUGGUAGUUAUGCGGUAAAUAAAUACACAUGCUGUCAUUAUGUGAUGUCUUUCAAUGUCCAUCUUACAGUUGUCUAGUUUUGUGCAGUAAAUUAUACUUUCCAGAAAUUACAAAUUUAUGCUUUGUUUUGUGCUAUAGCAGGCCAUUGUGCGCCAGUACAAGGAAUGUAGGUGGCAAAGAUAGGAUUUCUGCAGUACUAUUAAAGUCAACUUUGUCUUCUGAUGAAACGUGUUAAUAAAAUGAGUUUUCUGGUCACCCGAAAUUGUUAGUUAAAAUGAAACACUUAUUUUGUAAUGCACUAAUGUAACGUAUUUGUCCAGCCUUCCUGUCAGCAGUACAUCACUUACUGCAGUGUUUCUGUUGUACGUUUCAGGAUGCUGUUGCCUAGAUGUAUUAUUUAACUUGGCUGUCUCCACCCUUUGUCUUCACCACACACUCAAUUUUGCCACAGGUCACAAAUAAGAAGCCAGUAUAGCUUUGUUAGAACAACCAUAUCACAAAGAUGAAUAUUAUUGACUGGCUCUUCUCAAUAUCCCAGCUGGAAAUGUCAUUCCAUUCUUUAAAAGUGUUUCCUUUGUAUGGUGGAGUUUAGAUCUUUUCAGACAAAAAUGGUUGCUUAUUCCACAUAUAUUGCCAUUGCUAAUACUGUAUUAGCACUUCUAAACUAUUCCUAAAAUAAAAACUAAGUGUACUUUCUGAAGAAUAAGAGUUGCAUAAAACAGUGUGGAUCUUU